AUUGAACGCUGGCGGCAUGCCUUACACAUGCAAGUCGAACGGUAACAGGUCUUCGGAUGCUGACGAGUGGCGAACGGGUGAGUAAUACAUCGGAACGUGCCUAGUAGAGGGGGAUAACUACUCGAAGGAGUGGCUAAUACCGCAUGAGAUCUACGGAUGAAAGCAGGGGAUCGCAAGACCUUGUGCUACUAGAGCGGCCGAUGGCAGAUUAGGUAGUUGGUGGGAUAAAAGCUUACCAAGCCGACGAUCUGUAGCUGGUCUGAGAGGACGAUCAGCCACACUGGGACUUGGACACGGCCCAGACUCCUACGGGAGGCAGCAGUGGGGAAUUUUGGACAAUGGGCGCAAGCCUGAUCCAGCAAUGCCGCGUGCAGGAUGAAGGCCUUCGGGUUGUAAACUGCUUUUGUACGGAACGAAAAGCCCUGGGUUAAUACCCUGGGGUCAUGACGGUACCGUAAGAAUAAGCACCGGCUAACUACGUGCCAGCCGCCACCGUAACAC
rnacentral:rRNA from 1 species